rnacentral:lncRNA from 1 species
AGUGGUGGUGGCGUCGGCGGCGGCGGCGGCGGCAGCCGGAGCGAGCAGUAGCCGAGCUGGUUUGCAUCCAAGAGAGGGGAGGACAGGGGCAAAAGGAUGCAGGGAGGCUGCUGAUUUCCACUGAAGAGCUAAUUUCCUGUGAGACAUUAACAGUGAUUUAAGAAAAAGAUUCCUGUAACUGUAAUGUCUUACAAUAACAGAAUGCAGGAGAGCACAUAUCAAUGAAGAAAAGACAAAAUGUACUUAUCCAUGAAGCUGAGGUUAAGAAACCAGUGUCUUCAAGAGCCAGGGACAGCACUGGGUCUGUGCAGAGUUGAGAGAUGGUGAUGACAUGUGACAGAGCUCCUUGCUGCUCAAAUUUUAUGCCAGAUAAAAUAUUCACCUUCUCGGACUCCCUGGCAC